rnacentral:rRNA from 1 species
UACGUAGGGUCCAAGCGUUGUCCGGAUUUACUGGGUAUAAAGGGUGCGUAGGCGGACCUGUACGUCGGGGGUUAAAUAUCCAGGCUCAACCUGGAAAAUGCCUUCGAAACGGCGGGUCUUGAGUGCGAGAGAGGAUGGUAGAAUUCUUGGUGUAGCGGUGAAAUGCGUAGAUAUCAAGAGGAAUACCAGUGGCGAAGGCGGCCAUCUGGCUCGUUACUGACGCUCAGGCACGAAAGCGUGGGGAGCAAACAGG